ensembl:lncRNA LINC02029 long intergenic non-protein coding RNA 2029
ACAGGCAGGAGGAGCGGCCUGGCUUUGUCUGAGUCAGGCAGCCCAGCGUGUGGGAUGCCAGGCUGGAUGUGCUGGGCCUGACCAGCCGCCCGCUUUCCUCUUCUCUUGCCUCUGCCUGCCCCCUGGUGGACAGCUGGGGUAAAGCAUGGGAGUGCGCCUUUGGGGUCUCAGUGGGGCUGAAAUACGACUCCUCCCCUAGGACAGCCUGCCUUCCCCAGCCUUGUUCUCCGGCAAAGUCAAUUUCCUGGAGAAUCGAGGCUCUGCCUCAGAUGUUCGGAGCCUCCGCAGGAUGAACACCUCCAUUUCAAUUCCAGGGGCUUUGAUCAACCUGUGCCUCCCUUGAUCCCCAACUUGUGGGCACCUUCCCUUGAGCAGUGCCCCCACGAGGUACACCUUUCCCGGGAAACAAAAAUCAUUCCUUCUUUGGGUCCUGCAAGCUGUAAAGAACCAAUACAGCACUGUGCUACUGAACAUGUUGCCACUAUAGAAGCCCCUUGUGUUUUGAAGAGUACAUCUCUAUAGCCAUUCGUUUAUUCAUCAGAAACCAGCUAGAAGCCAGGCCCUGUGCUGGGCGCUGGAGACAUGGAAGAAACUGGGCUGAGGCUCCCGCCUUGAAGAGCUUGUGGCCCAGGGAAGGGACAGUUCAUCUGUCAUUGAUUGCCACGUGACAGUGUCUAUGAUGCUAAAAAGAUGCCAGUGCUGUGCUGCAGGAGCAAAGGCCGUGGAGGAAGAGGCUUUGGCUUUGUUGCGAGUCCUUGCCAGAGCCAGGCAAAGCCAGUCACCGCUUUGUUCAGAUGACUCAGGUAAAUAAAUGAGGCCGCACAGGCUGUCCUGACACCACACACCUCUAGAAUACCCUGGCUGUGCUGGGAGCUAUUGGUGUCAGCUGAGUAUUUUCAUCCCUGUCCAAGUCACAAUGAUCUGACUGUACCAGCCUGUGUGGAUGUUGCUAAGAGGAGGCAGACAGCACCAUGAGCUCCCUUAGAUGACGAUCGGCAUGAUGUUCCUGCUGUGGCAGCGCUCAGCUCUUGCCAAUGCUCUUCUCUGCUUUGCUCACUUUAAGCCUCCCUUAAUUUUUUUGAAGCCCAGUUUCCACAUUGCUGAUUCACAGAUAUGCAAGACUCAGGCAGGAAAAAAAAAAGUUUUGCAAUUAUUUUCAGUGUCUCCUUUUCCAGACUUCUUAGAGGACUUGGAAAGAAAAUGAAAUGACGUUGAACGAAAUCAAAGUAAAUUGAGUGAUCUGAAACGAUUUGAUGUCAGCAAGAAUUCCCCAUACAGCUCACAGCCCUACCCCGAGCACGCCUCCCUCUUGGGUAUGCUCUCUGCAGGCCCAAACCUUGCAGAAGCCAUUCCAUGUUUCCUGAGCAGGAAAAGACAAACUCAGACCGACAACCUUGGACUUCAAAAGACUGCACACAAGGGGAGGAAGGACUGAGAGUACCAAGGCGUGAGAAUUCAGAAUGCUGCUAUCUCAUUUAUUUUUACCAUUUAGGAAACGUUUUGAUCUGCAUUCCUUUUCCCUUCCCUGAUUUCAAAAAAUAAAAAUAAAAAUGCU